rnacentral:misc_RNA from 1 species
AGAUCGUCGAUACCUUACCAACAAGGCUUCUCGUCUUCGGCAAUGCAUCCCAAAACCAUUAACUUGCUGUUGGUCGUUGCCUUAAGCUUUAUCCUCCUGCCUAAGAUCGACGCUUGGUGGCUCGCUCAUCAAUGUCCUUGGAAAGGAAGUGCUGACCCAUAUUACUUCGGUAACACAAACAUGUGGUGUAUGGGAAAAGGAAAGCGAAGUGUACCCUCAAGAGGAGUCUGGGAUUUGACCCAUCGGGUUAUUUAUUACAAAGGGUAUUACUUCGAGUUUCUUGAUAACUCAAGGGCCUUCAUCGGAACGAAUAGGGUAGCUUCUCAUAGAUGUCCUGGGGGUCUGGAAAGCUCGGCGGCUGGAUACAGUGAACUGAGUCUCGACUGCAUCAAGGGAUGUGCCAGGAACUACAAGUGUAAAUACGGACAGUACAGUCUCCUUUUAAAUAAUUGCAACAUAUUCGCCAAUCGUAUCUCCGCAGUCCUCUGUGCCAGUGGACGACAUUGUCCCUCCUGGUGUCGUGGAAAUUGUAAUGACGCUGAGGAGCAUUAGAUCAGGAUCUUAUGAGCUCUAAAACAAUGAAAUGUAUCUAUCAAAGCACAUUUGAUCGAUUUCUUAUAAAGAAAUAAAAAAAAAUCG